rnacentral:rRNA from 1 species
UACGAAGGGGGCUAGCGUUGCUCGGAAUCACUGGGCGUAAAGCGCACGUAGGCGGCUUCUCAAGUCAGGGGUGAAAUCCUGGAGCUCAACUCCAGAACUGCCUUUGAUACUGAGGAUCUUGAGUACGGGAGAGGUGAGUGGAACUGCGAGUGUAGAGGUGAAAUUCGUAGAUAUUCGCAAGAACACCAGUGGCGAAGGCGGCUCACUGGCCCGUAACUGACGCUGAGGCACGAAAGCGUGGGGAGCAAACAGG